rnacentral:rRNA from 1 species
UACGGGGGGGGGCGAGCGUUGUUCGGAAUUACUGGGCGUAAAGGGCGCGUAGGCGGUCGUGACAAGUCAUCUGUGAAAUCUCCGGGCUUAACUCGGAACGGUCAGAUGAUACUGCUUUGCUAGAGUGCGGAAGGGGCAAUCGGAAUUCUCGGUGUAGCGGUGAAAUGCGUAGAUAUCGAGAGGAACACCAGAGGUGAAGACGGGUUGCUGGGCCGACACUGACGCUGAGGCGCGAAAGUCAGGGGAGCAAACGGG